GCCUGAAUGGUCUAGUGGUAUGAUUCCUGCUUUGGGUUCCCGAAAAUGCAGGAGGUCUCCGGUUCAAUCCCGGAUUCAGGCC
rnacentral:tRNA from 1 species